CGGGCUGCCUAGUAGUGCGUAGUAAUUCACAUAGUCGAAGUGAUUUUUAACCUGUAAUAUAUUGUUUUCUUGUUCCUGUGUUUCUGGAUGUGCUUUAUUUGGAUAUUAUAUCACAUUAAAUAAUCUUGACUCAAGGGGCUCUAGAGCUGAGUAUAUGGUUUAAAUUUUAACCCGAUACUUCUACGCGUUCCCGAGACAGAUGGCAGACGGUUGGAUGGACAACAAAGUGAUCUUAUAAGAGUUUCUGUUGAGGUAUGGAACCCUAAAUAUGGACACAAUUUAACUGAAUACAGUUGCUGUGGUUUGUAGAGUACAGUGUUUAAAAGUCCAAUUUUCAUUGCAACCAAGAAUUAAGAGUCCAACAAAGACAAUUUUGAGUGAUUUAAUCAACAUACGGCGUCAUUAUCAUGGUGAAGUUUCUACAAGAAAAUCAACGGUGAAAACUUUCCUGGACUAAAUAACUGUGCUUUUGGGUAAACGUGUGGACUCAUCAUUUCCUGUUGACUUCACAGCCCAUCGGAGACCACUUUAGCAGCAGUUUGGCAAACACAGGAAUUGAUUAAUUGUAAGGUGAAGUUUCUACAAGAAAAUCAUUGGUGAAAACUUUCCUGGACUAAAUAACUGUGCUGUUGCUAAACGUGUGGACUCGUCAUUCCCUCAGAAGACUUCACAGCCCAUCGGAGACAAUUUUAACAGCUGUUUUGGCAAACACAGGAAUGGAUUAAUUAUAAAAACAUCAACAUGGUUUCAUGAAGGGAAAAUCCACACUUUGAGCCGUUUUUGAACUCACUAAAGAAAUAAUAAAUAAUAUGGAAAGAGGCGAACUUUCACUAGGUCUAUUUUUAGACUUAUCCAAAGCAUAUGACUGUGUGGAUAGAACUUUAUUAAUUAAGAAACUCCAAUUAUAUGGUAUAAGAUGUAACGCAUUACAAUUAUUAACGUCAUACUUAAAUGGAAGACAUGAUGGGAAAAUAUUAUUUUUCUGAUAUAAAAGAAAAUUCAGCAGUUAUUGCACAGGGAAGUAUAAUUGGCCCUAUCCUCUUUUCUAUUUUUAUUAACGAUCUAAACGUAAUAACAACUGCAUCACAAGGAAAAAUUGUAUCUUAUGCUGGGGGAUGACACAAAUAUAAUUGUUGCAGGAUAUACUUUUGUACAUCUGCGUGAAAGAGUCUACCUAAUGAUAUUAAAAAUAUUAUUUGUGAAACUCAAUUCAAAAAACGACUUCUGUUAAUUAAUCUAGAACCAUACUCAGAGUUUUUCUGUAAGUUUUUUCAAAUUGGAUUUUAUUGGACAGUCUGUUGUGUUUAAAUUGUUACAAGAACUACUUGUUUAGAAUUUACUACUUGUUUAUAAUUUAAGAAUCAAGUGUUAUUGUUUUGAAUAUCGUAAUUUUUGUUUUAAUUUUGACGAUCAUUUCAUUUUGUGUUUGUGCAGGCGCUACGUUUUGUACCUACCAAUUCUGAAAUAAAGAUUAUUUAUAUUAUUAUUUAUUAUUAUUUUAUUAUGUAAUGGGUAAAUUGGUCUAAAAAUAACGGUAUAUAACAAGCAGUAUUUAAUUUAACAAAUAAAAUU